rnacentral:rRNA from 1 species
GACGAACCUUGCUAACGUUAUUCGGAAUUACUGGGCUUAAAGGGUGCGUAGGCGGUGCAGAAAGUCGGGUGUGAAAUCCCCCAGCUCAACUGAGGAAUUGCGCCCGAAACUACUGUGCUUGAGGAAGAUAGAGGUACGCGGAACUUAGGGUGGAGCGGUGAAAUGCGUUGAUAUCCUAAGGAACACCGGUGGCGAAGGCGGCUACCUGGACAGGUACUG